CGCCAGCGUGUUGCCACAGUCCAACAAUAUUUUACAUCACUAUUUCAGCAUUUUGUUAAUGGAGAACCAAGUCCCGAAUCCCCAAAUCCAGUCCCUGCUAUUCCUGGUGGAGGAAGUGCAGUCAAAAGUCGAAGACUGCCAACUAAGAGAGGCAUCUCCACAGUAUCAGGCUCAUCAGUGCAGGACACCACAUCAGAGGAGUUGUCCAUGGUCAUUGAAACAGGACAGUACAGAAAGAGCCUGGCUGUGGUGUCAAAGGGAAUGCUGGGAAGUCACUGGAGUUUGA